CAAGUCUUUGCAGGGCCAAUAAAGCAAGCUGAGCGGAACGAUGGGAGCUUGCUCCAGGCGUGAGCGGCGGAGGGAGAGCGCCUGGUGGGAAUCUGCCCAUUAGUGGGGGAUAACUGGAGGAAAGACGGUCGGAGCUAAUACCGCAUAAUCCCUACGGGGGAAAGCAGGGGAUCUUCGGACCUUGCGCUGAUGGAUGAGCCCGCGUCGGAUUAGCUUGUUGGUGGGGUAACGGCCCACCAAGGCGACGAUCCGUAACUGGUCUGAGAGGAUGGCCAGUCACACCGGGACUGAGACACGGCCCGGACUCCUACGGGAGGCAGCAGUGGGGAAUCUUGGACAAUGGGCGCAAGCCUGAUCCAGCCAUGCCGCGUGUGUGAAGAAGGCCUUCGGGUUGUAAAGCACUUUCAGUAGGGAGGAAGGCUUCGGGUUAAUACCCUGGAGUACUUGACGUUACCUACAGAAGAAGCACCGGCUAAUUUCGUGCCAGCAGCCGCGGUAAUACGAAAGGUGCGAGCGUUAAUCGGAAUUACUGGGCGUAAAGCGCGCGUAGGCGGUGUGUUAAGUCGGAUGUGAAAGCCCAGGGCUCAACCUUGGAAUUGCAUCCGAUACUGGCACGCUAGAGUGCAGUAGAGGGAGGUGGAAUUUCCGGUGUAGCGGUGAAAUGCGUAGAGAUCGGAAGGAACACCAGUGGCGAAGGCGGCCUCCUGGACUGACACUGACGCUGAGGUGCGAAAGCGUGGGGAGCAAACAGGAUUAGAUACCCUGGUAGUCCACGCCGUAAACGAUGUCUACUAGCCGUUGGGGUCCUUAGUGACUUUGGUGGCGCAGCUAACGCGAUAAGUAGACCGCCCUGGGGGGAGUACGGCCGCAAGGUUAAAAACCUCAAAUGAAAUUGACCGGGGUCCCGCACAGCGGUUGGAGGCAUGGUGCUUUUAAUUUCGGAAUGCCAACCGCGCGGAAAGAGAACAACCCCUUUUUCUAA
rnacentral:rRNA from 1 species